rnacentral:misc_RNA from 1 species
CCCGAAUUUAAGCCAUCCGCGCGACGGUGCGCACGGGAGGCCAGAGUGUGCCCCCGCCUUCGCAACGAACCCGAGUGGGGGUUGCGUAGGGGGCAGCGAUGCGUGACGCCCAGGCAGACGUGCCCUCGGCCAGAAGGCUCCGGGCGCAACUUGCGUUCAAAGACUCGGUGGUUCGCGGGAUCCUGCAAUUCACACCAAGUAUCGCAUUUCGCUACGUUCUUCAUCGAUGCGAGAGCCGAGAUAUCCGUUGCCGAGAGUCGUUGUGAAUAAUACGACAAGAAUGCUCCGCCCCGCGCACGCCGAGACCGGGGCAAGGGGCGGGGCGAAUUCGUUUGAGUUCCUUGGCGCGACCUGCGCCGGGGUUUGGUUUAGGCACCGAGGGGGGCAAGAGUGCUCCCCCCCGACACGAAAGGUUUGUAAACGCGUUCGCGGGUCGUUUGAUGUUUAGGCAUCGACAAUGAUCCUUCCGCAGGUUCACCUACGGAAACCUUGUUACGACUUCUCCUUCCUCUAAAUGAUAAGGUUCAGUGGAC